CAUGCAAGUCGAGCGCAGGAAGCUGACAGAAGCCUUCGGGUGGACGUCAGUGGAAUGAGCGGCGGACGGGUGAGUAACACGUGGGCAACCUGCCCUGCAGACCGGGACAACCUCGUGAAAACGAGGCUAAUACCGGAUGACCGUAAGUAUCGCAUGGUACCUACGUAAAAGAGGGGAUUCGUCCUCUCACUGCAGGAUGGGCCCGCGGCGCAUUAGCUUGUUGGUGAGGUAAGGGCUCACCAAGGCGACGAUGCGUAGCCGACCUGAGAGGGUGAUCGGCCACACUGGGACUGAGACACGGCCCAGACUCCUACGGGAGGCAGCAGUAGGGAAUCAUCCGCAAUGGGCGAAAGCCUGACGGUGCAAUGCCGCGUGAACGAUGAAGGUUCUCGGAUCGUAAAGUUCUGUUAUGAGGGAAGAACAAGUGCCGUUUGAAUAAGGCGGCACCUUGACGGUACCUCACGAGAAAGCCCCGGCUAACUACGUGCCAGCAGCCGCGGUAAUACGUAGGGGGCAAGCGUUGUCCGGAAUUAUUGGGCGUAAAGCGCGCGCAGGCGGUCUCUUAAGUCUGAUGUGAAAGCCCACGGCUCAACCGUGGAGGGUCAUUGGAAACUGGGGGACUUGAGUGUAAGAGAGGAAAGUGGAAUUCCACGUGUAGCGGUGAAAUGCGUAGAUAUGUGGAGGAACACCAGUGGCGAAGGCGACUUUCUGGCUUACAACUGACGCUGAGGCGCGAAAGCGUGGGGAGCAAACAGGAUUAGAUACCCUGGUAGUCCACGCUGUAAACGAUGAGUGCUAGGUGUUAGGGGUUUCGAUACCCUUAGUGCCGAAGUUAACACAUUAAGCACUCCGCCUGGGGAGUACGGCCGCAAGGCUGAAACUCAAAGGAAUU
rnacentral:rRNA from 2 species